UCCAUUGUUGUCAAUGAUGUAUUGUUGGAACUGAAUUAAAGUGAUCGACUGCAUAAUUCGUCACUACCACUGAGACAACAAUGAA
rnacentral:snoRNA from 10 species